UACGUAGGGCGCGAGCGUUGUCCGGAAUUAUUGGGCGUAAAGAGCUCGUAGGCGGCCUGUUGCGUCUGCUGUGAAAUCCCGGGGCUUAACCCCGGGCGUGCAGUGGAUACGGGCAGGCUGGAGGCAGGCAGGGGAGAAUGGAAUUCCCGGUGUAGCGGUGAAAUGCGUAGAUAUCAGGAGGAACACCUGCGGUGUAGACGGCUUUCUGGACCAUUGCUGACGCUGAGACACGAAAGCGUGGGUAGCAAACAGG
rnacentral:rRNA from 1 species